AAGUCAUAACAAGGUAACCAUAGGUGAACCUACGGUUGGAUCAUUAAAAAAUGGCCCCUUUGUUUUGUUGCUCCGGGGGUUCAUCCCGUGGCAUCAACAACACACCAACCUUGUGAACCGUUCCGAGUCUCUGGCAGUUGGAAGGGGAAGCUUCGUUUCUUCCCCUUCCCUGAACCACUUCCCAUCCUUCUUUGAUGGGCACAUGGAACGAAGCCAUCAAAAAAAGGAUUUGCACAAGAACUUGUGGGUUAGAAUUUAUUUCUUUGUUUUUUGAGAGGCUGACACUAGCUUUGUACCAUAACAAUGCAAACAACUUUUGGCAACGGAUCUCUUGGCUCUC
rnacentral:misc_RNA from 1 species